rnacentral:lncRNA from 1 species
CACAAAUAGGCCCAUUAAAGCCACAGUAUAUGUUAAUAUCAACUAUGCCCAGGUUUUACUGUAUUUGUUCAUUGGCAAGUAGAUGUGAACCAAGUAUCUCCUCUUCUGGAAGACAGGUAAUCAGGAAACAAGAACACACAAGUUGAAAUACAGGGGAAAUGACAAAUGUCAUUCAGAUAAUGGUAGUGGGGGUUGUCAGCCUGUCUGCUCAAUUUACUCUUGGGAGUGGUCCCAUCAUGUGAAACUCAGCUGUGAUGUAACUCCAGGGAAUGAGAUAAAAUUUAUCCCAUGAACUUUAAAGAGCCUAUUUGUUUGAUUUAAAUAAACUGGGUUUGGCCUAACAAACAGACAAAAAAUUCUCAACCAUGUAAUCUGUAGGUGAGUUUUAAUCUGCUUUCCCAACUUGAUUUUUUUUUUUUAACAAGAGGAAGAAAAAGUAAUUUGAACAUACGAAUUAAAUCCAUCAUCAAGAAUAGGGACACAUACAUUUGAUAAUGCAAGUGAAAUCAAAUUCAAAUAAAAACUGUAUCCUUUUUCCCAGACACCAUUCAUAUGGAGGUUUCUGGAGACCUUUCUGUUACUCAAUUGUCUUUGAAAAGUUAAAGCAUAUCACCCCGUCAGACAUCUGGGACCAAAUCCCAGUGAGUAUAAAUUCCUUCACUGAGAUGUAUUACAUGGAGAAGUUAUUUAUUAGAGCAGAGUUUAUUAAUUAGAGGAAAAAAGACUCUCUCUAUUCAGUCACUUAGUUGUUUGAUCAUUUUUCAUCACUGCCUGCUUCAAAUAUCUAUAAGACAACUCAGAAAUCCACCCCAAAUGCUUCACCAAACUCAUCAUUUCAUCUUCACCUGUAACAACUUUACUUUUAACAACAAACACUUUGUCCAAACCACAGGAACAGCCUUGCGUACUAGGAUGGCUCCCCGAUAUGCCAGCCUCUUCAUGGGCCACCUCAAAGAAGAAUUUCUGGAAAAAAUGCACCAGGAAACCAAUGGUAUACCUGAGAUACAUCAAUGAUAUUUUCAUCCUCUGGACCAAUGACCUAAACUUCCCAUUAGCUUUCCACCACAACUUCAAUAACCACCACCCAUCCAUCGAACUCUGUACAAUACUCCCACAUUAGCAUCAACUUCUUGGACACCACGAACAGUUUCAACAAUGGAACACUACAGACAACUACAUACAAGAAACCCACAGAUUACCACACCUGCCUCCACAGAUCCAGUA